AUCCAGCUGACGAGUCCUGAAUAAGACGAAACGCGCGUCCCGGAU
rnacentral:hammerhead_ribozyme from 1 species